rnacentral:lncRNA from 10 species
UUUUUCUUAAUUUAAUUAUCAUUUUCCACACAUAUUCAUUUGCAAACUCCUCUUCUAAACCCAAAUCUCCUUUGUUUCUCAGCACUGGUUGACUUUUUAAAGCGGAUGUCUUUGAAAUGCACUAAUGUCCAAAGAUAAAUGUGUUGCCUCAAGCACCACUUCAGGGUUGUCAGCCCCAGGAUGAGUCAUCAGGAAGAUCAUUAAGGAAGAUUUUAAUAUAAGAAGACUUUAUUGGAUAUCUGUGAUUUGCAGAACACUGUUGAGAAACAAACAACACACAGAAUGCAAGCUUGCCUUUAAAAAUGUGUAUCCUAAUUAGGGAAAUAAUUAUGUUUCCAUGUAUAUCAUAUGUACACACACACAUACACAUAGGUAUGUAUGAUCAUCUCAUGUAUGUCAUAUAUGUGUAUUUGUGUGUAUAGAUAUACUUUUUUUUGUUAGAACAACUACAUCAAUGUGAACCAAAAAACUCACAAUGGCAGAAGAGGCCUCUGAGUCUGUUUCUUAUCUAUUUCUGAGCAUCACUAGGCACCUCUCUCCUGUGUAAUUCAUAUGACAACAACGUACACUAUGACAUGUGUUUAUUUUACCAAAUGUUGUUCUUUCAUUUGUCUUGAAUACGCUGAAUUCCCCUGCUCACCUGAACAACUGUAUUCAUCUCCCAAAACCUGUCUCUUGAUUCUGGGUAAAGAUUUUGCUUAUUGAGUCACUUCAGGUUAGUGUCCAGUCUUUUGGAUUCUGAUAUAGUGUGGGUGUGUCCCCACCCAAAUCUCAUCUUGAAUCGUAGUUCCCAUAAUUCCCAUGUGUUGCGGAAGGGACUUCCUGGAAGGUAAUCAAAUCACGGGGGUGGGUCUUUCCCGUGCUGUUCUUGCGAUAGUGAAUAAGUCUCACAAGAUCUGAUGCUUUUAUAAAGGGUAGUUCCCUUGCACACGCUUUCUUGCCUGCCACCAUGUAAAUUGUGCCCUUGUUCCUCCUUCAUCUCCUGCCAUGAUUGUGAGGCCUCCCCAGCCACGUGCAACUGUGAGUCCAUUAAAUCUCUUUCCUUUAUAAAUUACCCAGUCUCAGGUAUGUCUUCAUUAGCAGCAUGAGAACAG